rnacentral:lncRNA from 1 species
AUGAGCUGAUUAGACAAGAACCUAGGAUAAGCAUCGAUGAACUGGCAGAGCGUGUGAACAUCAGUCACGGUUCGGUUCACACCAUAAUUGAUGACCAUCUCGGUUAUCGGCUCUUGUGUGCGCAAUGGGCGCCCAAGAUUUUGAACCACCGCCAGAAGACGGAGAGGUUCGGCGCUGCCUUGACUCAUCUGAUCCGGCAUCACAAUGAGGGUGACGACUUCUAGUCUGCAAUGGUGACCGGGGACGAAUCAUGGGGCUACUACUACGAGCCUGAAACACGACGGCAAAGCUUACAGUGGAAACAUUCGAAUUCACCAACCCCAAAAGAAAGCAAAGGCCGUCAUUUCCAGCGAAAAGGGGCUGGGCCAUUACUGAUCGAAUUUGCUAAACCUGGGGAGACUAGCAAUCGUUUUCGAUAUUGUGAAACGAUGGAUCGGCUGCGUGUCGCAAUCAAGAAGAAGCGAUGUGGAAAAUUGACGAAUGGGGUCAUCUUGCUCCACGACAAUGCCCGUCCCCACGUCGCUGAUGUGGUUAACACAAAACUGGCAAAGUUCAAGUGGGCAAUGCUGCAAUAUCUGCCAUACAGCCCAGACCUGUCGCCUUGCGACUUCCACAUUUUCGGGCCAUUGAAAAAACAGAACCAGAUUCGUGUCGGACGAUGACGUGAAAGAGUCAGUUACAGACUUUUUGAAGCAGCAACCCAAGAAGUUUUAUGAGACGGGAAUCACGCGACUCGUUAGUCAGUGGGACAAAUGUAUAAAUGCUCAUGGAGACUACUUU